AGCUCCCAGCAGCGGUAACCAAGACAUGUCAGCCUGGUUCAAUCUAUUUGCAGACUUGGAUCCACUUUCAAACCCAGAUGCUAUUGGACACUCAGAUGAUGAACUUCUUAAUGCUUGAUUGAAAUAAUGUUGUCACUUCAGUGGCCUUGAGACAUCAAUUUUACAACAUACUGCCUUAGUGGAAAGGAGUUUAUAUUGUAACCCAUACACAAAAGCAUCGUGUUUGUGAAUAUAACACUUUUCAGCCAACUUUAAACAUAUGGUUAAAAAAACCUCUACCAAUGUGAUCGAAAUCAGCUUCUGCCUCUCUAAAAGUUGUGCUUCCAAAUUAAAAUACUUCAUGAAGUUUCUGCACCUGUGCAACAUUAAAACUAACAGAGCUUGA